UCAGGAUGAACGCUGGCGGCGUGCCUAACACAUGCAAGUCGAGCGAAGCACUUUGCUUAGAUUCUUCGGAUGAAGAGGAUUGUGACUGAGCGGCGGACGGGUGAGUAACGCGUGGGUAACCUGCCUCAUACAGGGGGAUAACAGUUAGAAAUGACUGCUAAUACCGCAUAAGACCACAGCACCGCAUGGUGCGGGGGUAAAAACUCCGGUGGUAUGAGAUGGACCCGCGUCUGAUUAGCUAGUUGGUAAGGUAACGGCUUACCAAGGCGACGAUCAGUAGCCGACCUGAGAGGGUGACCGGCCACAUUGGGACUGAGACACGGCCCAAACUCCUACGGGAGGCAGCAGUGGGGAAUAUUGCACAAUGGGGGAAACCCUGAUGCAGCGACGCCGCGUGAGCGAAGAAGUAUUUCGGUAUGUAAAGCUCUAUCAGCAGGGAAGAAAAUGACGGUACCUGACUAAGAAGCACCGGCUAAAUACGUGCCAGCAGCCGCGGUAAUACGUAUGGUGCAAGCGUUAUCCGGAUUUACUGGGUGUAAAGGGAGCGUAGACGGGUGGGCAAGUCUGAUGUGAAAACCCGGGGCUCAACCCCGGGACUGCAUUGGAAACUGUUCAUCUAGAGUGCUGGAGAGGUAAGUGGAAUUCCUAGUGUAGCGGUGAAAUGCGUAGAUAUUAGGAGGAACACCAGUGGCGAAGGCGGCUUACUGG
rnacentral:rRNA from 1 species